rnacentral:rRNA from 1 species
AGUGAACGCUGGCGGUAGGCCUAACACAUGCAAGUCGAACGGCAGCACAGGAGAGCUUGCUCUCUAGGUGGCGAGUGGCGGACGGGUGAGGAAUACAUCGGAAUCUGCCCAGUCGUGGGGGAUAACGUAGGGAAACUUACGCUAAUACCGCAUACGACCUUCGGGUGAAAGAGGGGGAUCGCAAGACCUCUCGCGAUUGGAUGAGCCGAUGUCGGAUUAGCUAGUUAGCGGGGUAAUGGCCCACCAAGGCGACGAUCCGUAGCUGGUCUGAGAGGAUGAUCAGCCACACUGGAACUGAGACACGGUCCAGACUCCUACGGGAGGCAGCAGUGGGGAAUAUUGGACAAUGGGCGCAAGCCUGAUCCAGCCAUACCGCGUGGGUGAAGAAGGCCUUCGGGUUGUAAAGCCCUUUUAUUGGGAAAGAAAUCUUUCAGGCUAAUACCCUGGGAGGAUGACAGUACCCAAAGAAUAAGCACCGGCUAACUUCGUG